CUCCAAAUCUCUAGCCUCUCAUUGAUGCUGCCUCAUGUCUCGUCAAUUAGAAUAAUGUCAUCAACAAAUAGCAUGCACCAUGGCACCUCCCCUUGAAUAUGAUGAGUUAGUGCAUCCAUCACUAGGGCAAAUAGGAAUGGGCUGAGCGCAGACCCUUGGUGCAACCCCGUAAUAACUGGAAAUUGUUCAGAGUCGCCUCCUACUGUCCUAACCCGAGUCUUAGCUCCAGCAUACAUGUCUUUAAUCACCCUAAUAUAGUCAACCGAGACCCCUUUAUCCUCUAAGCAACUCCAUAAGACCUCCCUAGGAACCAUAUCGUACGCUUUCUCCAGAUCAAUAAACACCAUGUGGAGAUCCUUCUUCCUAUCCCUGUACUGUUCCACUAUCCUCCUAAUAAGGUGGAUAGCUUCUGUGGUAGAUCGCCCCGACAUAAACCCGAACUGGUUGUCUGAAAUAGACACCGUCCUUCGCACUCUCAUUUCUACCACUCUCUCCCAAACUUUCAUGGUAUGACUUAGAAAUUUGAUGCCCCUAUAGUUGUUACAGCUCUGGAUAUCACCUUUGUUCUUAUACAACGGGACCAUUGUACUCCACCUCCACUCUUCAGGCAUCCUAUUAGUCUUGAAUAUAACACUAAACAAUGCAGUAAGCCAUUCCAAGCCUGCUCUACCCACACACCUCCACAGUUCAACCGGAAUUUCGUCUGGCCCGCUAGCUCUGUCCCUUCUCAUCUUACGCAUUGCCUCCAUGACUUCGUCGAUCUCAAUGUCCCAACAAUUACUUAAUUCAUGGUGACUGUCGGCAUUCCUCAAUUCCCCAAGUAUAAUAUCCUGAUCCCCUUCUUCACUUAGAAGUUUAUGAAAGUAGGUCUGUCACCUCCUCUUAAUCUGGCCAUCUCCCAUCAAAACUUUGUCGUAAUCAUCUUUUAUGCACCUCACUUGGUCCAGAUCCCGAGUUGUCCUCUCUCUCGCCUUAGCGAGUCAGAAUAACUUCUUCUCCCACCUUUGUUCCUUAGUUCCUCGUACAGAUGAGCAAAAGUUGUUGUCUUAGCCUCCGUCACUGCCAUCUUCGCCUCCUUACUAGCUACCUUAUACCUUUGGCUUUUCUCUCUCUUCUCCUCCUCGUCAGUGCUCCCUACUAACCGCAGGUAAGCUGCCUUCUUUGCUUCCACUUUACCUUGGACAACUGCAUUCCACCACCAAUCUCCUUUGUGGCCACCAUUGUGGCCCGUAGAUAUCCAUAACACCUCUCUCGCCGCCUUUCUUAUACAGUCCGCCGUCGUCGACCACAUUGUGUUUGAGUCCCCACUACUUCUCCAAGCUCCCAUUGCCGAUAACCUUCCUUCCAACUCCAUAGCUUUAUCCUUAGUUAAGGCGCCCCACCUAAUCCUGGGGUGUCCUUGUACUGACCUCUUCUUCAUCCUCAUCCUAAUACAAAUUUCCAUCACCAAAAGCCUAUGCUGCGUUGAGAGGGUCUCACCUGGGAUAACCUUGCAGUCCUCGCACAACCUUCUGUUGCAUCUCCUGAGGAGGAGAUAGUCAAUCUGAGUCUUCGCCACCGAACUUUGGUAAGUAACCAAAUGUUCAUCCUGCUUCGUAAAACUCGAGUUCGCAAUGACUAGAUCAAAAACCUUGGCAAAGUCCAACAGCGAAAUGCCCCCUCCGUUCCGCUCCCCGAAACCAAAGCCGUCAUGCACCUCAGUGUACCUACCUGCAGAUGACCCAAUAUGACCAUUGAAAUCUCCUCCUAUGAAUAACCCCUCAGAAGGCGGUAUACUACGAACAAUCUCAUCCAACCCCUCCCAAAAGCGCCUUUUAAUAUCCUCAUUCAAGCCUGCUUGCGGUGCGUACGCGCUAAUGACAUUUAAAGUACCCUCACCUACCACCAACUUAAUAGUCAUUAGUCUAUCAUUCACCCGCCUGACCUCUACCACGGACUCUCUAAGAUGGCUAUCUACCAGGAUACCCACUCCAUUCUUACCCCUCAGGACACCAGAGUACCACAACUUAUAACCAUUCACGUUUUUCGCCCUCGAUCAUACCCACCUAGUCUCCUGGAUACACGCUAUAUUAAUCUUCCUCUUCUGCAGGAUUUUCGCCAACUCUAUGGAUUUACUCGUUAGUGAGCCUAUGUUCCAUGACCCGAUUCUCAACCUAUAGGCUCUCUUGCCCCCUCUACCUCCCCUACUACCCGACCCACCCCCUGACCCCAGCCCCACACUCUGCCCCACCCGAGGACAUGCCCUUAUUCUAUCAUCCCAGACUGCAGCCACUACACCUACAACAAUCUAGAGAAGACUCGCUAGUGUACAACGGACAACAAAUCAAACUAGAAGGAAACAAGUGGUAACUAGUAUCUUAGUUGAAAGGUUUAACUAUUGCGAAGUAAAGUAACAGUAAUUUAGCUAACACCAAAAGGGAAACAGUAAAACAGGAGGUACCAACUCCUGAUAACAAAACUUGUGGCUGAUUUGUUGUACUCGAUGUAGUUGUACGCUCACGCACCACUUCCUACCGCCCUUUGCUGAGACUCGCCCAGGUUGCUUUCCUUUGCCAGUGCUCGUGCGCCCAACUUGUCUCCAAUACUCCGAGAAUUCCUGAAAACACAGAAAAUACCACGACCCAAAAAUCAGAAGGAGCUAUCACCGCUACCACUGGUAUAGCCCCAACAAUAUAAAAUGUACCAAGAAAGGAGAAGAAGAAAACGAGAAUAUAAGGAGGUGGGGGCAGAUUUGGGACGCAAAAGGACAAAACCAAUAAACCUAAAAGGAAUGUUAAAAAUAAAAGGACAAAACAAAAAGAGAAACAACAAUGUACGACUAGACUGUGGAGUAGAGAAAAAAGGGUAAAAAGAAAACGUAUGAAAAUAAAUUCAAACCUAAAAAUCAGAUAUCCAACAAGCAAUAAAUAGAUUUCUCAACUCACCCUUCUGGUUAGAAACCAAUAUUUGACGUUUAGACAACUGUAACUAUUAUACGGAAAAUAAAAGAAAAAAGGAAGACAGAAAGUCGUCGUCUUUUUUUCCUUCACUUUCCGGCCGCGAACCAAAGACUCCGGCGUGAUUUUCUCCCUUUCAGUCAAAACCCACAAAUCUGUUACUGCUGAACAAAUAGAAGGAAACCAAAUAAAAGCUUAAUAGAGGGGAGGGGAGGGGAGGCAGUUGAUAAAUUAACUAAAGAAAUUAACUAAAAUAAAAAGGGUUUGUGGAGGUAGGUCAGGACCUUAUUUUAAUUUGGCUGUGAAGAGAAGAAUAAGGAGAGGGAUUGAUGAAUAUUCCAUUUCAUAUAUAAAUGUAUAUUUUUAAUUUCCAAACCCAGUUUCCCGUUGAUUGAAAGACAAAACAAGUGGAAAUCGAAAGACUUAAUAAAUGUCGUAAAUAUUCGAAAGACUUAACUCAUUCGUGAUUUUUUAUGUUACUUAUUCAAACAAUAAAUUGCCUAUAUUCCUGUAAACAAAGAUUAAACAAGUGAACAACCUCCACAUCCAAUAUUUUAUGAGAGUUUUCAAAGUGUUCUAUAAAUAUCUAAUCAAGAAACGGUACACACUUGAUAGAUAGCUACGGGUCAAUAAGGAUAAUCCGAUACACAAAAUAUUUCAUAUCCAUCCUCGGGAAAAAGGUAAUCCCUUUGUAAUUACAACGAUAACCUUAGUUAACUACUGCGCAAAAAUCAUCCCUAUGAUGUUACCAUAUAGUAGUACUUUCCCUUUAGAGGUCCUUUAGGGAGAGAUCCUAGUCCUAUAGUGUCUUGCAUUUUCUAAGCAAAACCUUAUUUGGCAGUUAGGUUUCCUUCAUUGUCCUGUCGUUUGUAUCACAUUAAAUUCCAUGCCUUCAAUGAUGAUUAUUGCAGUUAGCUAUUCGUUGACUUCUUUCUUCUGCCAAUUAAUUUGGUGUACACCUCAAAGUUUAAUUAAUUUUAUCCACCAAUGCUUAAGCAUAUAGUAAGAAAUAAUCACCUCGUAUUUUAUAUCCAUGCGACAAUUUGGAUCUUAGUUUUCCGUAUUUUUCACUCACUUCAUCUAUUACUAUGUCACUUCCUUGAGUAUCAACUCCUCUUAGUGAGAUUUAAACCUUACACAUAUAGCUAGUGUUGAAAAAUAAAGGAGAAUUAUCAAUGUCUAACUUUUAGGUUUAGAAUCAAGUCCUUUUUUCUUUUUAAAUGAUCUUUGGGACAUAGGAUUGAGUAAAUCAUGUGAUAUGCUUGGAACAGAAUAAAUUAAUAUAAAUAGGUAAAAUUAAAAAUAAGAUAAUGUAGUGGGUUUAUGUCCCAGGCUGAUUAGUACCCACUUGAGAAGCUGGCAAAGUGAGCGGCAAAUUUUAGUGCAAGGCACAUCUAGAGAAGCAGAACUGUACUCCAUUAAUGGAAUCAGAUGCUCAGCAGAAACACUCUUAUGGAAAACCUUUUACAGUAUUUGUCAUGAAAACUAAGUCCAAAAUGUUUCCACCUUUUUUUGUUUUAAUUUUUUAUUUUUUUUAAAAAUAGAACAGAAAGAUUCAAGAUUGGUGGGGUUAAUGGGAGUGCCUAAUUUCUCUGCUUAUCUAAAAUUCCAGUUACUAAUUUUUAUUACUAUAAAAGGUAACUCGGUCUCUUUUGCAUUGCUGCUGCUAUUGCUUGUUGCUUUAUUCUACUGUUCCUUGAGCCGAGGGUAUAUUGGAAAUGAACUCUCUAUUUUUAUAGGAUAGAGGUAAGGUCUGCGUACAUACUAUUCUUCCAAAUCCCAAAUACGAUAUUAAACUGGGUUUUUUGUUAGUGUUGUUGUUGUUGUUAUUGUUGUAACUCAGUCUCUGUCAUUGAAAAUACACACAUUUUGACCUUGUUUAGGCAGACCAACAUUUUUAAGGACAAAAGACAAUAAUUACCAUCCAAUUACCGGACAAUAAUGAAACAACUACUAAGAGUGUGUUUGGCUAAACUUAUAAGCUGGUCAUACUAGUUUAUAAACACUUUUCGGCUUAUCUACGUUUGAAAGACAUCAAAAGUGUUUAUAAGUCAAGUGAAAAUAAGUCAUGAGUUGACCAUUACUAACUUAUGACUUUCAAUUAUAAGCACUUUUAGUUUGACCAAAACUUUUACUAUUUUGUCCAUAUAUUAUUAUUAUAUAAUUCUGAAGUACAUUUAUCUUAAUAAAACUCUUAACUCUAUUCUUCACUUUCACCCGUCAUCUUUUCACGAGCUUAUUUCCUAGAAAUAUUGUUCACCAUCAUGAACAACAAAAAGCUAUUUAGCGUCAACAUAAAUCAAUCAAAUUAAUUUAAGUUAGAAAAAUUCUAUCUUGGCAUUUAAGGGUGUGGUCUUGUGGUCAACGAAGUGGGUGAGAACCAUGAGGUCUCAAUUUAAAUCCCGGCAGAGGCAAAAAACACUAGGUAAUUUCUUCUUAUCUAUCCAAGCCUUGGUGGAUAGAGUUACUUGGUACUUGUUGCUGGUGGAAGGUAGCAAAUAUCCCGUAGAAUUAAUCGAGGUACGCGCAAGCUGGCACGGACACCACAGUUAUAAAAAGAAAUCUAUCUUCUGUAAGUCGGCCUUCUUCAUCUCUUUGAAAAUGUGGUUGUUUUGUAUCAUUCAAAAUUCUAUUAUGAAAUAUGAACUAAAUUAUCUAAAUUUAAUUGCAUUGUGUUGGUAAUGAAAAAUGACGAUGUAAUAAUGAUCUUCUUAUUGUACUUUAGUCUUUAGCUCAUUGUUGCUAAAAUAAUAUUUACUUACUAAAUUUCAAUUUAAUCUAAUCAAUUUGGAACUAAAUGUAAAUCCAUAAGUUAAUUUAUACUUUAAUCAAUUUAGAAUUUGAAAUCUUGUAUGAGUAUAUAUUUAUUAGUGUGAACAAUUUAAGGGGCAUUGAAGUCAUUACAUCACAAGAAAAUGCUUAUCAACACCUAUUUACCAAAUAUUUUAAUUGCUUAUUAUCAGUUUUAGCAUAUAAAUCCAAACACAUAACUACUUAUUUAUUAAAUUAGUUUCAGCACUUAAAAGUAUCUAUAUAUCUAUAUAAAAGUGGGAAAUAGAAAAGUGAUGUGGCACCUCUCUCAAGCCAAGAAACAAAUUUAUCUUUUUUCUCCUUUUUUUUUAAUUUUUAUCAUUAUUCUAUCUUCAUAACUCUCACCUCAUUAUCUUCCUAACCAAUAUUUUUAAUAAUCUCAAUAACUCUUUUGCUUUUCAUAUUCAUAACUCCCAAAUAUUUAAUAUGUAAAUUUAUGACAAUUUAUCUCAUUAUUUUACAUUUUUCCUUCAACUAUCUUAUUUAAUCAAUCUAUUUAGCAUAAUGGAAUAAAAAAGAAAAUAAAAGCCUAAUGCAUCUGCGUAAUAAAGCCCGAAUGACCAGUAAAAUUAGUAGUUUUCUAAAACAGAGCCACAUUGCACUUAAAUAUCUUUUGCAUUUAUCUUUUAUUCUUUAUUUGUUUUAAAAUUUUAUUUUCAUAACUCACACCUCUUUAACUUCUACUCUUAAUAGUAUCCAUAAUUCCUAUGCUUUUCAUAACCUCCAAAUAUUUAAUUAAACAAUUUAAGAUACUUUAUGGUAUUCCUUUAUUUUUCCCUAUAUAAAUUCAUAACUUUUGUUUCAUGAGACCCCUACCCAAGGUUACCCUUUUCAUGUCGUAUUUGAAAUUGUAAUGGUGUCUUAUAUACCGCAGUAUUAGAUUCAUGUUUUAGUUUCGCUCGAGGAAGAAGGCUCUUGAAUGAUGAUAGAUUUGCGAGAGAGAGUAUCAACAACAGCUCGGGAAACUAUACAUUGAUUUUAUAUUUCUCUUUUCUUUUAUUUUCUUAUGAUUAAGAUUCCAAAUAGAAUGUGCGUUGUAUUUCUUUUCUUGUACUUUCUCUAUGACUUUGAGAAAUGGUAUACUUAUGUAAUUUGCUUUAAGAUCGGUGUAAUUUUUAUGAAUAACUAGCAUGUUCUUUCUGAUAUUGAUGUAUUUUAGAUAUAUACUAAAGGUCAAAACACAUAUAAAUACAUAUGUAUAUCGUCCAAUAGUUCAAGAAGAAUAUUAAGGAAUAACAACUUGGAACACUCAACAAAUAACAUUGCUAAAAAUAAUUUGGUAGUUGAUUCACUAAAGGAAGUGAUAAAAGCAAGAACCGUCAAAAAGGAGUUAUGCAAGAAUUCAAGGUAAUACGUAAGAUCGAAUCUUUUGUUUUUCUAUUUUCUUUUUUUAAAAUAUUAAGCAAAACCAUCUUCAAGUGACUAUAACGGACAAGAACUGAGUUUACAAAUCUCAUUCUUAAAAGAUUAACUGAUUAAGAAAUACAUAUCAAUUUUACAUAUAUAGAUUAAUUCCCUUAUAGAUAUGGGGACAAUUGUAUCCUUUCAUGAUAAACUUGUAACAUGUAUAGUGUUGAAGGUAAAUGAAUUGCAACCAUAAUGUCAUUAAAAAUGCUUAAUAUAUAUAUAAUUAUUUAAUAUUCUGAUUUUUUAUAAUGACCGCGUGAAACGCGGACAAAUACACUAGUUUUUCAAUACUUGAUGCUUAUUAGUCACUUUAAAUCAACUAAGCCAAACGGGCUCUAAAUGGUUUAACUUUUCAAUUAGCGAGUCAUGAAAUGGAAACAUAAAGCAGUCAGCCAUUCAAUAUUACCUAAUUCAUUACUAUACUAUAUUUCUAUAAUAAGAGUACACUGUUGUAGCAAGAAACCUCGCUUCAUGCAAGUUGAAACCUUUGUGAGACAAUGAAGCAACUUUUGUCUAGUUUAAUUUCUGGUGGACCAAUUCUUGAAUGGCAUUUGAUGUGGACAGAACUUUCCAAUCAACAAACGACCGUACACUAUAAAACUUUUUCAAGAAUAAAUAAUGACACAACAUAGCUCCCAUUUUCUAUUAAGGAAGCCUGUUUUAAUUUCUCUACUCCUCAUAGACAUAUAUAUACACCAAAAUGUAUAUCCUAUGAUCAACCAAACAUAUCACAAGAUCCUCCCCACUUGUAUUUUCUAGGCUGCCCACCUCAUAUUCUUCCCUAGAUAAAAUCAAAGUCAUAUGCUAGAGUUCUUGUUCAGUAUAGUGGAAUGAAGGAUGAAUCCUUACUACCAAACUUCAUGUUCAAGCAAUGACUCAAUAACAGAACAAGAAAAUCCUACUUCUUUAGAUACACAGCCAAGUUUUCAUUCAGUUCCUUCAGCCAUAUCACUAUCUCAUGAUCAGAGUUUAUCUCUUAAUCUUGGCACUCAACAUCAAUGCAUAGCUACUCUAAAGGGACAGAAUACCUAUACAUCUUCCCUUGUACUUGCUGGUAAAUUCCUUUUUACUGGCUCUUCUGAUAAAGAAAUUUGUAUGUGGAAGCAAAAAGCUCUAACUUCCACAAUAGAUGGUAUAGUUGACACAGUUAUAGCAGGCAAAGGUGCAGUUAAGUCACUAGUAAUAUUGGCUGAUAAGGUCUUUAGUGCUCAUCAAGAUCACAAAAUCCGAGCCUGGAAAAUCGAAAACCAUAAUUCAGAUGCCCCUAAUAUUGUUCAUCUAUCCACUCUCCCUUUACUUAGUGACAGAGCCCUGAAAUUUAUGAUACCAAAAAACCAUGUUAAAAUCAGGCGCCACAAGAAAUCUACAUGGGUGCAUCAUGUUGACACAGUCUCAGCACUAGCCCUUUCGAACGAUGAGUUGUUCCUCUACUCUGUUUCAUGGGAUCGAACACUUAAAAUUUGGCGAACCACUGAUUUUAAAUGCUUGGAAUCUAUAGCAAAUGCACAUGAUGACGCGAUCAACGCUCUAGCAAUAUCACAAGAGGGGGAUGUUUUUACAGGAUCAGCUGACAAUAAAAUCAAGAUUUGGAGAAGGGGAUUUGAAGAGAAAAAGCAUUCACUGGUUGGUACACUAGAAAAACAUAAAUCUGGUGUAAAUGCACUAGCAGUUGGGGAAAGCACUCAUUCUGUUUUAUAUUCGGGUGCUUGUGAUAGGUCAAUAUUAGUAUGGGAGAAGAAUGAAGGUGGUGAUAUGGUGUUAGUGGGUGCACUCAGGGGUCAUAAAAAGCCCAUAUUGUGUCUGGCUGUAGUGGCAGAUUUGGUGUGCAGUGGUUCAGCUGAUAAAACAGUGAGAGUGUGGAGAGGGGUUGAGAGAUGCUACUCUUGUCUUACUGUUAUUCAAGGACACAAUGGACCAGUGAAGUGCCUGACUGUGACAAGUGAUCAACAAAUUCCAUCUGAUACCACCUCUUCUUAUGUCCUAUAUACUGCUAGUUUAGAUGGUGAAACCAAGGUUUGGAAGAUUUUUAUUCCACUUCUAUAAAGGUUUUACUCCAUCUCUUUGAUCUUUCACCUUUGCUCCAAUGAGGGGCAUGAUGCAUCGUAUUUGUUGGCUGAUAGAUUUGUCUGAAGAAACUCAUGCUCCAGAGUUGCCAGUUCCAGAAUUCUGUAAAUUUUAUUCUGCAACUUUAGAUUGUGGGCAUAUGACCAAAAGAAGAAAAUAUCGACAAGAUUUUACCUUUUUCUUCUUUAGUUGGUUUCGCAGUGCAAGUUUAUUCAAUUGAAAAUGGCUAUCACUACAAAAUGAUUAUGCUUCCUAAACUGAAACCAAAUUUGGUUGAUACACCCCCCCCCCCCCCCUUUUAAGUCCUAUAUUUUGUGAUCUUUUAAUUUAUUUUUACUUUUUUUUAUCUGUGAACCCAAUUAAGCUUCACGAACUUGGCCUAUUACAAACCGGAAAUUCAUCCUGUUUAACAUUCUGUCGCACAGUUUACC
rnacentral:lncRNA from 1 species